GGAAGUCUGUACAGUUCAGACUUCUUUUCACAAAGUGGCACCUGCCUGGAAUAUGCAGCAUUCUCGGGACUUCACGUUGGUUGGAGACACUGACUUUUUACAUUUACCCUGGAUCCCACUUCACAUUCAUGCAGGAGGAAGCAAAGUGGAUGGAAGAAGUCACAGAAAGACCCUUUCCUUUGCCUCACAAAGCACCUCAAGUCUGUUAUGAUAUACGGGUGCGCAGGAAUGAGGGGAGGGUUUCUUUGUUAGCUCUUAUACUGAAAGCGUAAGAAUGAAAUAAUGGUAUAGCAAGGAAUAAAAUUAUGAUCCACAUGUAGAUUUUUUUGUCGUCAACUUGAAAGAGAGACAAAAUAAAACAUUUGAU